UUUGGCUUCUGGCCGGUUCCCUUACCCCCAUCUCUCGCCAAUUCUGUGUGGCUGUGGAGGGCCUUUGGAAACUGAGGUGUCUAGGUGGGAGGGUGUGUUUUGGGGGGGGGGGCUGCCUCAAGAUCAGGUUGGUUUUUUUUUUCUUAAGUCAGCAAAUUAAGGAAACAAACCCAAAAGAAAACGCAGACCAGCGUGAACCCCGCGAUGUGAAAAGUUUUUGACUGUAUGGGUCUUUACGUGUGUUGCCUGGUGAGUGGGUCCCAACUCCUGUUGCAAAGUGGCAGCAGCCAAUGGUAAAGCGUUCUUAUUUUUAGUUGCUGAUGACCAGGUCUCCCCCUCGCAGCCUCUGUCUGGGCCCUCAUUGGUGAGUGGUCUGCCUGCCCGAGGAGCCUGAUUGGUGGGAAAUGGCAUCAUCUAAGAGGCUGGGAAGGCGUUUGGUCCUGGUUGUGUUUAUUACAACAUCAUUGCACUCUGGGACUCCAGUCCCUGAAAACGUAAUUUGUGGUGUUACCAGAGGAGCACAGGGAAAAAGAAAAGAAACAACAACCGUCAGCCACUCCCUGGGGUUGGGGCGGCAGGGUUAAGAGUUCAGCUGGAGUCUUGGAGGAAGCUUUCUUCCCCCUGGAGGGCCAGGUGACUUUGUGUUUUCUUUGGAGAGAUUAUGUGCAGAAAGGAAAGGAACGCGUCUUUCUGCAGUCUCUGGCUAGUGCUGGCAAACUGAAGGGUCAGACUGUUCUCCUGUAGGGUUAAGGGGUUUUCUUGGGGGUUCUGUCUCCCUAACCUAGCUCCACUGUCUUGCCAGACCCACUUUCUUUCUUCUGGGGCUGACUAAGGUGAUGGUUUCGCAGAAUUCAGCUCUGCAGUGUGCUCUGAAGUCUUUGGAAGUUGCUGUGUCUUAUGCAGGCUUGAGAGCCCUGAGGAUGCGCGAGCCAUUGAACGGUGAACAGUGACUCCAGUCUUUGCGCUUUAGUUGUGAACAGGGGGCUGAAGAUGGAGGUGGGGUGGGGUGGGGCCCAGGGGGAGAGAAAUACCACCAGAUACGAUAUGCUAAAUAUGUGUUUGAUUAGAUCUGCCUUUUAGCAUCGUACGCUCUCAGAUUCUAUACUCAUGUCUAGAAAUAUUUUGUGGGUUUUUGGGGAGGUGGGAGAGGCUUGAUUUGGCCCCGAUUUCUCAACUGUUAGAGCAGUGGUUCUCAGCCUGUCGGGAAGGGAUCACUAUCAGCUAUCCUAAGCAUCAAAUGUUUACAUUAAGAGUCAUAACAGUAGCAAAAUCACAGUUAUGAAAUAGCAACAAAAUAACUUUAUGGUUGGGGGUCACAGCAACAGGAGGAGCUGUGUUAACGGGGAACAGAAUAGGAAGGUUGAGGAGCACUGAGUUAGAGGGACAUCUGAGAAUGGAGACCUGCCAGCAGUGCAAAGGGGAGGACACCCCUUUCACUGAAGUGGCUCAGGCCAGUGCUGUGUGUGUGUGUGUGUGUGUGUGUGUGUGUGUGUGUGAUUCUCAACUUCUAGGGCCUGUUUUGGUUAUUCUUUAACCCCACCAACACCCCUUUCAUCCAUUUUGGAGGGCAAGGAGUGGACAGCAGUCAAGUACCUCCGACUUCCGAGCGGUGCUGUUGAUAGACAGGGAGUUGACAAUAGUUGAAACAGUUUUUGGAGAAGAAAGUUCCCAAUUUUUAAUUUCUUAAUCUACCUCAUCUUGUUGUUGCAAUGGUCGUGUUUUAAACAUGUACUUUACUCAGCAAGCCCACUUAAUAUUUGCCUUCUGCAUAGCAGAGACCGGGGCAACCACAUGCACGUGUAUGUACAUCUAAGCUCACACAGCUUACAAAAGCUUGCUGCCGAGAUAAAGGACCCCGUGCCACUCCAGUGGGGUCCUGGGAAGUACCGAGGUGCCCCGGGGUCGGUCAGAUUGUUUGUAUGCCUGAAGUUUUACAGCCAUCCUCUUGGUGGCAGUUGUCUGGGUGUGGAUGGGGAGGGUGUGAUCAGGGGGUCACACAUCACACGAUGUUAAGUACCACAGAUGAACACUUAGGAUUUUGGGCUAACGUUAUUGAUACUUUCAUCUGUAGUACGAAAAGGUAGCCAUUAUCAGACAAAAUGGUAGGGCUGUCAUAUCAUGCUAAGUAGCCAUCUGGGGGCGUGCAAAAGAAAACAUUGAAGUUAUGGGAUCACUGCUGCUGGUAGGAGUGUAUGUAAGCGUCUGGAUCACAUGAUUGCUCAUGUGUCUUAUGUAUGUUUCUGUGCUGAUUGCUAAGACUCUAUCUCUCUAUAAAUAUUUUCCAGAUUCCUUUUAUGAUGAUAGUAAUAAUGGUAAACAAAUAUACAUACAUACAUACAUACAUACAUACAUACAUACAUACAUACACUCAGAUGUCAGGGAUUUUAGGCCAGAUAGAAAAAGAGGGACAUCUGCGGACUUUGGGACUAAAACACCUUGGGGUCAUAUCUCUACCUAUACUAGGCAUGCAAUUCUAACUGAAUUUAUUUACUUUCUCUGUAAUAGUAAAAUGUGGAUAAUUAGGAUCUCCACUGCAGGGAUGUAGGCUGUCUUAAAUUCAUUAACCUUUGCAAAAACAGUUGGCACGAACAGUUCUUUGUGUAUAGUAGGCGUGCAAAUGAUAUUACAAGAAAUUACUGUGUUCUGCUAUGGACGAGUUAAUUUUGGGGGCUGGGGGUGGUCGAAAGCGGAGCACAAUGUAUCAUGCCUGAAGUCGAUCAACUCCGCUACCAUGCCAGGUCCUAGAAUUGUUAGCAGAGGUGUGGAGCCAGAGAAAUAGUUUCAGGUUCUGUGUAGACGUUGAGAAGCAAGGGGCAUAUGUAGGUUUCAGCUGGUUCUUUUUCCAGAGACAGUGGGAUGUGGAGGAGGAAGAUUACACGCUGGAAAGCACUGGCCUUCUCUCCAAACUGCCCACGUGUGUGGGUGCUUGGCAUACCUACUUAAAUAAAUGCAGCAAUGCCUCGCUCGGGUUGGCACCUCCAGUCCACGUCUUUACACUUGGCCUUCUCGACGAUUCCAGUCAAGUCCAGAACCACAAGCAUCACUUGCCCAAUUGACCUAUUAGGAAUCUACCAGUCAAGGGAAGAUGGUUAGAUGACCUUUGGCCUUCUUGAGCAGGCUCAUGUCUAUCUGACCUUUGCUGCUAUCAGCAGAGAGACAGAGAGAAUGGGGUACAAGGGUGUGUUGGACAGCAGGCCCCUCCAGGUGCCUUGUCUAGAGACAUCUCUUCGAUGUUCCACUCACUCAUAAGCUCUGCUGCUUAAGGGAAUCCCCCUCCCCUUCUUGGCUGAACCUUAGAUUGGUCCAAGGGCAGCCUGCCAUUUUGGCUGCCAAGAGUUUUAGAGUGGAAGUCAACACAGGCACCUUUCUCUACUCUGGGGGCCUUGCAGGGAGGGCUGGCUUUCUGCCUGGGUCUCUGGGGGAACUUCUCCUUUCGUGCCUGACUUUGGGCCUUCAGUGUAAGCUCUGCAUUAGCCCUCUGCCUGCCCUGGAAGGGAAUUAGAAAGGUGGGAUUGCCCCACGGCCUCUACUCUUUUGAGAAUGGAAGGAAAUGGGAUGAGCUUUCCCUGUGCCCAAACAAGCCAGUGGGGAUCUGCUUGGCAGACUGCUCUCUGCCUGCGCUCUAGGCCUGAUCUCUUAAUCCUUGGCAGGAAGGCAGAACCUGAUACUCUGAAGAGGGAAGCACCAAAGUCCAAUUUAUCCCAGGUCUCAGAAUCCUGACACUCAGGAGGGUGUGUGGUGGGGUGAGUUUGGGAUCCCUGAACUUCUAGAUUUAGCCACUGUCGCUGCGUCCAAGUUCACAUGUAUGCUCUGGGCAUGUUGUUGCUAUAUCUGGCAACUUAAGUUCAGGGUUGCACACAUGAGAGCUAUAAAUAUCCUUGCUCCAGUAUCCCCUGGGGUAACUUCUCAGCGACAAAUGAGAUUUAUUUCACACUUGCCAUACCCAGCAGCUGUAGCUGCCCCCUCCCACCACAGCUUUCUUCCUCCAACAAACGGAACCUCAACUGGAGGCAGCAGACAGGAGGUCCCUCCCCACUUCUACAUUUCAUGGGACAGCACCCAAGAACCUAGCAUAGUAUGUGGGGGUGGGGGUGGGGGUGGGGAGGGGCAACAGUACCGCCACCUCCUCAAAUGCUUUUUAACGUUAGGUAGGGUUUGUUCAUAACACCUUUCCAGGUAGACUCUUCCCAGAGAGGAAACAGCAAGUGAGGGAGCUGGUGGGAAAGAGCCGGGUGAGUCAGGGUAGGGAGGUGUGCAGCACGCAGAAGUAGGCUGUAGGGCAUGACCACCCACAUCCCACAGGCUUCAGGUUCUCUCAGCCUCACACUCUAUCCUAGAGGGCACAGAGCAUGAGAGGAACCCUGAGCCUCUUUCAGAUGUGAGCUGCAACAGUGCCUGUCACAGCUGCGGAAGCCUGCAGGUGGCAGGUGGCCAGCUGCCCCAGCUCUUCAUGUGCCCCAGAGAGCGGUAUGGGACCACUGACCGCCAUUGUCUCUGGGAUGCUUCUUGCCUUCGAUGAGCUCCAGGAGGGCAGGGCACUGAGUGUCCUCCACCACAUCCCAGAGCCUAGCCCAGUGCCUCAGGAUGCUAGGCACAGAUGCCUUAAAAUGAAUUCUUUCUCAUUGGCUCUCCACUCGCUCAGCUAAAGGCUCUCCGGUGGCUAAGAGCACCAGGUACAGCUCCUUCCCUGGUGUUUCAGCUGUCAUCCGUCAGAGGAUAGUGACGCAGGCAUGUGGAUGGCGCAUCCAACUACCAAUCUUGUCUCUGACUUGGCUCACUAGGCUUAACCGUUACCACGCUCCGGCCUUUGCAUCCUCAAGGUCCCCUGGUCACGAGGUAGUUUGGAUGAUGGGUUUUGGCUUCUGCUGCUGAACAGCACACCUUGUCUGUAUUUCCCUGUGGCUACGAUCAGUCCACUGGCCAGCUCUUCCCACAGCCUCUUUCCUUCCCUAUGUGAUGGGAGACAGUGUCUACCUUGCAGGUUGGCUGCACGGGUUGGGAAUUACGUAGAGUUGGUUACCUCACUCUAGGGAGUGCCAUACCUGCUGGGUUCUGGUGAUGUGGUCUGGUGCCUGCUCUGUGACCCAGCCUUCUGUGGGGGAGAGGAAGGUGAUGAGACCCUGGGAAGUGCAUUGCACAGCUGGGAGGAUGAAGGAGAGGAGAGCAGCUGCAGGGUCCCCGAGGGUGAGGGCUGCUGCUUUGGCUGAUACAGAGAAAGGCAGGAGGCAGAAGAGCAGUGCCGGCCACCCUGGCCAUCUUGCUGGCUGUGGCCAUCUCCCUGCCUGUGGCCAUCUCGCUGGCCAUCUCCCUGCCUGUGGCCACCUCCCUGGCUGUGGCCAUCUCCCUGGCCACCUCCCUGGCUGUGGCCAUCUCGCUGGCUGUGGCCAUCUCCCUGGUUGUGGCCAUCUCGCUGGCUGUGGCCAUCUCCCUGGCUGUGGCCAUCUCCCUGGCUGUGGCCAUCUCCCUGGCUGUGGCCAUCUCGCUGGCUGUGGCCAUCUCGUUGGCUGUGGCCAUCUCCCUGGCUGUGGCCAUCUCCCUGGCUGUGGCCAUCUCACUGGCUGUGGCCAUCUCCCUGGCUGUGGAGUCCUGGCUCUGCUGCUUCCCGCCAGAAAGCUCCCCUCUCCCAAACUGAUGUCCACAUCCACAUGAUAGGGUUAUGACUGUACCUUCUGGUAGGGUUUGGGGGCCAAGUCAGAACUUCCUGUCUGCCAGCAGAGGAAUCUCCUCCCCUGGGCACAGCGGCUCCUUUCUCUCUGUGCUGCCAAGUGCAAGUCUGAGAAGCACAGCACUAAAAGAGGCUAUGCAGAGGCAGAGAGCGUGUGAGAAAGCUCACACUUUGGCAGAGGUGCUGGGAAGUAGUGUGGCGAGGGCAGGCACAAGAGGCAUCCUAUGUGUGUCUUUGUGGUCCAGGCGUCCCCCCUCUCUCUGCCAGCUUGAGGUGUAGGCUUGAUAACUAAAUUAGAGACCUCCCCCCUUUGAUUGACAACUUAGUAAUUAGAGAGAUACUAAUCUGCUGUCUUGUUGCGUCUUGGUUUUAGCAGAAAAAUAAGCGGAGGAGGAGGCCUUUAUUGUUGCUGUUUCUUUUGUGGUGUGGCCAGAGAUAUCUGGAACCUCAGGGUAGAAGUGGGGGCUCAGCCCUGAAUGGUGAUUUCCCACCGUGCUAAGCUUGUCUUGCCACCUUUGCUUUUUCAUCUUUGCGUCAUAGAGGAGGCUAAGUGGCGUUUGCCCCAUUUUUUUUUUUGCAGAAUCAGGAAGGUAAAGUGGUCUGCUCCAGGCCAGAUAGUGGUGAAAGUUAAAAGACAUGUUUCUAGGAUAGGACUUGAAAUGACAAGUCCUGGAUCCUUGCGUUAGCCGACACUAAUCAGCUUGUCCUUAAGCAAAUGUCUUGUUCCCUGACGCGGGCUCCAGAGUUGACUGUUUUCUGCAAAAAAUGCAUUCACUUUUCUAGAGUCUGUGGGGUGGUUUCUGGGUAGGACGUCAGGGCCUGGGACUGUAAUUCUUCCAGCAAAUGUUGUUCCUGUGAACUUGAGACUGUUUUGUCUUGCUGUUCAUAUGCCCCUGAACUUCCUUAAAAAGGGCACGCCUUGGGGGUGCUUGGGCCACACUGCUGAUGCGUAAGUGAACAUAGCUGUCUGCCAUUUGCCUUAUGCCUCUCCGUGCUCACCUGACCUGCUGUCUGUCGGUCUGCUGCUUGGGAACAGCCCCGCCGUGACCACUUAGGUACCUCCUUUCUCCCCUUUAGGGGUUUUCUUAUUUAGGGGAAGUUGCCUCUUCACAAAUGGCAUGUCUGGGAUGUGGAGUAUACACAGUGGUAAGAGCUCGCUAGUUACCUACACGGAAACGUGUCUCGUUCAUCAAGACACAUCUUCCCAUGUCUUCAUCGGCCACUUGCUGACCAUACAGCUUACCUGCUUGAGCAGUCUGCAUGGGCACCUCCAUCCGUGGGCUCCCAGAUCCUCUAGCUUCUAGCUCUCUGUGGUAGCUCUCUAGAUGAGAGCAUCUCUCCAGCUUCUCCCUCUAGCCAGCCAGUAAGCAGUCCCUGAGAACCAAGUCUGGGCUGGGGCCUGCGAUAGAAGCAUAGAAGGCCAGGGUCUGCUCUUCUGUAAUGAAUUCCUAUUGAGAGCUAAGUCAGAGCAGGACUUCCCAGGCAGACAGAGCCAGACUGCAUCCCUGCAUGCGCUGGCCUCUCCAAGUGUGCGCCUUUAUGCCAUAGCCUGUCUGGGAACUUGUUAGGCAUCUCAGAUCUUAGGAUUCACCCUACCGCCUAAAUCACAAACUUGAGGAGAUUAUGUUGGUCCAGACUGGAUGAGGAAUUCUGAUACAGGCCAAAAAGUCAGAGCUGCACAGACGCUGUUUGUGAGACCUGGUGUCUUCUCUCAGCAAGCUGCCUUUGUCACCCACUGUACACACUGUCCCAGUGCCCGGGGAACAUGAUUGAACUUUAUGCUUAAUCUUCUCUCCUAAACAUUCUUGUGGCCUCCUUCCUCAUUUUGAACAUGUGUUGGGACUCUCCACACUUGCUUAAUGAAUGGCCUCCUCCCAGCCUGCCUGUGGACACAGGAGGAAAAUGGAGGUGAGAUGGCAUGUGCAAACCUUGGUUCCAUGAGUGUGAUGUCUGCCGGAAGGGUGUGCAAAUAGUAGACUUCACAGGUAUUCCUUGAUUCAUGCCAAGCUAUGUUCUCUCCUGCCUGUUUUGUAGCUUGACAGAUAUGGUCUCUUUAGCUGAGGCUUGUUCAUGGGGUCCAACCCUGUGUCCAGCCCAGAUGUCAGCUUGCCUCUGUGUUGUCUUAGUUCCAUAGAUGGGAGGUGGCACCUUUCUGGUAUUAAAGUCCAGGCAGAUCCCAGUGGCGGAGGCAGGGGAAGUGCUGUGUUGCUCAACACCCACCUUGGCAGUCUUCGCUCUUUCCAUGGCUGAGCUCAGUGCUCUGUGGAGUGGCCUCUCUUUCCACUCCUCUUCUCCCUUACUUUCAAAUGUUAUCUUUUUGUUUCCCUUAAUUUUUUUUUUUUUUUUUGGUUCCAGUCUAGAAGCACCAUCCUUUGACUAGCAUAAUGGUCAGUAGUGUGAGCUGCUGGAUCUGCAGGCCCCUUGUAGGAGCUGCCACUGAGGGUGCUUGCUUCUGACUCGCCAGUUCAAUGAAAGCCCCUGGUGUCUCCAGCUUAACUGCAAACAGCUGUCCUCCCCGGCCAGCUGGCUCAGAGCUCACUCACUCUUAUUACCUGAAGGUGUCUCUAGAAGCUUCCUCAGCCCUGAAAACCUGGGGACAGAGCUACAUGUGGGGAGAGGACAAAGGGGGCGCAGAGGAGGGAUGGAGACUUCUGUUCCCAUACCAUCGACUCUGUCCAACAAAGGCGUCACCCAGGCAUCAUCCAGAAAAUCAAGAGAGUCAUUCUGAGAUGGCUCAGCUCAGAGGCUGCCUCCCAUCUGAGGUUAACACAGACUCCAUUUUUGACUUUUAACCAAAUAACUGAGUGCCCUACAACCUGGCACUUGGCUUUGUCCCUGGGUAGAUCUUUAUUACCCAUGAAGAUUGUUGAAGCCCCUAAGGGGCACUGUGUGUGAUAUCGCCUUUUACACAAGGUUUGGAAAUCGCCGUAGGAACCCGGUGAGUGUUGGGUUUCAGAGAGUCUGUUAGUCAGAUAAUUAUGGAAAAAACUGACUUUCAUAAAUGGCUCUGCCGUUUGGAAGAGGAUUCUGACCUGUCUAGACAUUAUCGAAGGCUUGUAAGUGGUGGUUUUAAUGCAUUGCCCAUGAAGGCACAAUGACACUCACUGCAGAGCCCAGAGCAGACAGACAGACUGCCAGAUCUACUUACUGGCUGUGGGUUUGAACUGUUGUCUAGUGAGAAUAGAACUGUGUGUUAUGUCAGGUGUGCCUCCAGAGCGGCCUGUGCAGACCAGAGGGAGAGAGCUGUGUUGUUCAGGUGGGCCUCGACAGGCACAGACACCUGUGUGUGUCAUGUGGCCACUUAGGUGACAGAGGGGUCAGUAACCAGGAAAGUGGGCAAAUCUUCCUGUGGAUCAAACUUUUUCACUGCAGAUCAAACUGCUGAUAUACAUAUUUACUCUCACUUUAAUAUUUAAAGCUAAGAUAUUAUAAAUUGCAGACCAUUUCUAUCAUCUCCCACCCCCAAAAAACUCCACACCCAUUAUUGGUCACUCUCCGUACCCCCUUCCUCCCUAGCCACCACUGGUCCACUUCUGUUCUGUAGAUUUGCUGGACGUUGUGUAUUCAGAUUUGCUCUUUUUUCUUUGGCUCUUUCAUUUGGCAUGUUUUCAAGGUUUAUCUGUAUUGUAGAAUGUCAAUAUUUCAUUUCUUUUCAGCUGGAUUGUCUCUCUUUCGGUCUUUUUCCACAGACAUUCUUCUCCAGGCUUUGGAGAUCAUACUUAGUAUAGAUGCAGAAUGCAAAGUUCUCCUGGCCUUUGACUCCUAAAGGAAUGGGGGUGCUCUCCCCCGUCCUGUUCAGGCAGAGUGUCUGGAGAGCACCCCCGACUCAGAAAAUGGCUUUAUUGGGAACAGUCGUGGCUGGUUAGAUCCAUGGGUUUGAUUAUAUCGUUCUGGAAGAGGUAAGAGUCUCGGUGGGGUUGCCAACAGGCACGAAGUAAGAAGAAUACAAAGCCACAAACCAAUAGGUCACAGAAGAAGAACAGCAAGCAGCCAAUCAAAACUCACUGUGCAAAGAUAUACAAAUAAAAAGAUUUUUAAUCUAUUGGACUGGAUCAAAUAGGAAAAAGUGAUAUCCAAGAGACAGGAGAGUCUAACAGACAUGGGCAACCUGUGGGCUACAUGUACCUCAAGAUAGCUAUAAAUGUGGACCAGAAAAAAAUAUAUAUAAAACGUAUUUAAAACAUCCUGAGAUCUUUGUCUUCAUGAGAGAUUUUUGUUAACUCACAAAGUUCUUGAGUGUGAACUUUGUAGAUGACAGUGCUGAUGCAUCACAAGGCUAGACACAAGGGAUGUAAAGUGAGUGAAUGAAUGAAUGAGUGAAUGCAUGCAUGAAUGAAAAGGUUGGACGCACCAGGCUGUUGGGAGUAAAAACUGUCCCGCUACCUUGAGAUAUCUGACAAAGCCCCUGAAUUAGCAGCGAUCCUUUCCUCCGAAUUUAUAACCAGAAAAAGAUCAGAGUACACAGAGGUUUACAUACAAAUGGUCUUCACAGUGUUACUUGUGACAGUGAUCAACUAUGAACACAUUGAGGACUGGUUAAAAAAAAAAAAAGACAAUUAUUAAGCACAGAAUGACGUGUGUUAGGAUAACAACAGCUAUUAGAAACCGCUUUCACACCGGGCGUGGUGGCGCACGCCUUUAAUCCCAGCACUUGGGAGGCAGAGGCAGGCAGAUUUCUGAGUUCGAGGCCAGCCUGGUCUACAGAGUGAGUUCCAGGACAGCCAGGGCUAUACAGAGAAACCCUGUCUCGAAAAACCAAAAAGAAAAAAGAAAGAAAAGAAACCGCUUUCACAAAUAUUUAAAGAAAUGUAGGAUGCUAAUGAUGCAUGCAGUGUGAAAGCAUGAAUGAAUACUGCCAACAGCGGAGGCUACAGCGGAGGCUACAGCGGAGGCUACAGUGGAGGCUACAGCGGAGGCUACAGCGGUGAAUGUGUGUGCACACUAAGCAGGGAGGUAGGAACAACAGAGUCUGAGCAGGGGUACUGAAUGAUUUUAGACAUUUCCCCCCCAGGAUUUUUAAAGGUCAUUUUAUUUGUAUCAAAGUUUUUAUGUGGAUGCUCUAAGAGUCGGCCGUCCUUGGUAAAGGCGAUCCGACCGCUCCCUUCAUGCUUCUCCUGUAGCAAGGCUGUGUCCCCUUUUCUGUGAUCUCCACUGUCUGCUCCCAGGUGCUUAGUUCAGGAACAAACGUUUAGCCUUCACACUCUGAAGGCCCCAGCACUCCCUCAAGGCACUACCCACGUCCCAGGUACUGGCUUUGCAGCGGCUGUUUCAUGAUUUCAGGCUGACCAGUGGUGUGUUUCUGCUUGUGACUAGGUAGGUGGUCACAGGUGGGCCCCGUGCACGGUGCCACACCCGCUCCUGGCCUCCUCCUGUGUGGAUGCAGAGGUGGGGAUUGUCUUCUCUUGCUCAGCUCUCACUGCACCCCCCCCCACACACACACUGUUUCCCCUCCAGCCCGACCUUCACGACCUUCACGCAGUCACCUAGCCCAACAUCCUGUCAGUCUCUCCUUGAGAGCGUCCCUCCUCAUCCUUCCAGCUGCUCCUAGCGGCCUGGUGCCUCUCAUGCUGUACACUGUGAGUUUCCUGGUCACAGACCCUUAGUUAAAUCCCCACGUUCAGGGUUUCAUGGCUUCUUCUGUUCCUCACUCUGCCAGAGGACAUAUUUUAAACAGUUUCCGGAGUGAAGAAGGUUAGUCACGGGCAAGUUUUUUGAUACCAAAUAGGUUUGGUUUUUUGGUUUUUUUUUUUUUUUUUAUUUCUUUUGUCUCCUCUCAACCCUCCCUCCUCAAGACUGGGUUUCUCUGUGUAGCCCUGGCUGCCCUGGAACUCACCGUGUAGACCAGGCUGGCCUCACCAGCUUUCUUGUUUGUUUCUUUCAGACUUGAUUGGCUUUUCUUUCUUCUUCAGAAUUUCAAAGGCAUACCUUUUUCUUUUCUAGCUUCUGUUAUGUUCUUUGAAUCUCAAGCCAACUGGGUCUUGAUCUGUCUUCAGGAACCUGGCUCUGGAAACGGUUAGAAAGGCAGAAAGCGUCUGCUGUCGGGUAGGGUCCGGCUGGUAGCUGGACACCCCCUGCAGUCUGAAAAUUCAUAUUCUGCUUCUGGGAAACACUUUGAUUCAUUUCUUUUAUUUCUCCACUUCCUCUUCCUUUACUUCUCUUACCUAGGUUUAAAGGCCAGGCUUCCUGGAACAUCUUCUUAAUUUCCUUAUAUUUUACUUUCUCUGUUCAUUUUGCUCUAUCUUAGGGUUAUUUCCUCAAUCUUAUUAUUUGCUGGUAUAUCCCUAUUUUGUUUUUUAAAUGUGAUUCUAUUUUUAACGUUGAACAGACUUGCUUGUUUUCUGGGUGUUCCUUUUUCCUGCCGCUGUUGCUCAACGAGGGGUUUUUGUUCUUUUGAGACAGUCUCACUAUGUGGCCCUGUUGGUCUGAACUCACUAUGUAGAUCAGGCUGGCCUCAGACUCAGAGAUCUACAUGUCUCUACCUCCUAAAUGCUGGGAUUAAAGGCAUGCACCACCACACUUGGUUUUCAUAACACACCUAGUAGUUUUUUGAUGGAAUAUUCUCUUAAUUUCUCUAAGGAUGUUAAUGAUAAUUCCUUUGAAGUUUGAUUAACUACAGUAUAUUGAUCUAGCUUAUUAUUUGUUCUUGAUUUUUUUUUAUUAUGUCUAAUCUACAAACUGAAUUUUAUCAUAGGUAUGUGUAUAUAGGAAAAAUACAGUAUAUUAGGCCCCACACUUCCCUGUGUUUGAAAGUCCAGGAGUAUUAUGCUACAGAGCGACUGAGUUUAGUGACUGUGGUAUGUGUGCCUUUGGGAGUGACUGAGUCUAGUUAAGGAAGCUUUUCUUCCAUCAAGCCAAUCGAUGUCUGUGUCUCUGUGGGGUGCUGGCUGUAGAUACAGCUUAGUCCUUUGAAUGGACCUUGCUUUCUUGUAUCUUUGUUUUUUAGAAGUUUUUAGCCUUUCAUCUCAACCCCUACCACUAAAGAAGUCUAACUUGGAAUUUCUGAAGGUUCUACUCCUUAGCACAUAGGAGAUGGGUACGUGAGGGGGUUGUUUAUGUGUGGGCUGGGCUAUUGCUCUUUAUUGGGAGGAGGCUGUCUUGUGCACUCUGGGAUGUGAGGAAGAGCCACCCAUGUCUGUUGUCCUCCCCACAUGUGCUAACAGUACCCUCCUCCAGCUGUGGCAAUCAAAAUGUCUCCAGACAGUGACAUGUGUUCUCUCGGGGCACCACCACCUGUACUCACUUCAUGACCUGUCUAAAUCUUUUCAUUUUGGAAUUCUAUAAAGUCUAUAGGUUUUUGUCUUUGCUCUAGAGCUAAGACAUUGUCUUAGAUUUCCAUCGCUAUGAACAGACAUCGUGACCAAGGCAACCCUCAUAAAGAGAAACAUUUCAUUGGGGCUGGCUUACAGGUUCAGAGGUUCAGUCCAUUAUCAUCAUAACAGGAAGCCUGGAAGCCUGCAGGCAGACAUGAUGCUGGAGAAGGAGCUGAGAGUUCUGCAUCUUGAUUCAAAGGAAACCGGGAGAGACUGACAUCCUCAGACAGCUAAGAGGAAGCUCUCUUCCACAGCGGGUAGAGCCUGAGCGUAGGAGAUGACUGCCCAAGCUCACCCACAGUGACACACUUCCUCUAACAAGACCACACUUCCUAACAGUACCACUCUCUGUGGGCCAAGCAUAUUCAACCCACCACAUUUAUGUUUCCUAGAAAAGAAUUUAUCCAACGGCUGUAUGAGUUGGGACAGAAUUACCAGUGUCCCGGAAAUAGGUGAACAAAGCAGCUACGAGGGCUUGAUUUUAAGCACAUAUUCCCCACCCUUUGCAAGGUUAAAGAGUUUAUUGUGGUAGAGAAGGGGAUCAGAAAUUAAACCAUCCUCACCUUUGUCCUAUAUUCAGAAGAGCACACUGCCCCAGCCUCACCCCGCCAGGCCCUGGGUCCUGUGAUGAUGCAAACAGCCGCCUGCAAGAGCCCCGCUCUGCGGGCUGCCUUAGGAGAUGCAGCCCUGGAUUUGCUAAGCUGCUCCAGUUUGUACUUCUUGCAUCUAGAUUCUAAAAUUUUGUGCUGUUAUCUCUUUCCAAUUGGGCUUUUCCAUGUAGUUUUAUGCCUUAAGGAAACAACAACAACAACAAAACAAAACACCCCCCCCAAAAAAAAAAACCUUGGAGGUACUUAGAGGACUCUGGAGAGAUAAGCGAUAAAUGUGUGUUCAGUCAGCUGGGAUCUAGCUGAAGUUGUCCCCUUUAUAAUUAGAAGCAUAAAUAUGUUCCGGCAGCGGCUCCCUUCAGAGCUGCCUCAAGACACUGCGAAAUGAAUCUGUAAGAAGCUCGCUUGGCAUUCAGGCUUUGGAGCAAAAGUUAUUGAGUGUCUCAGAGAUUUUUGUCCUUUGAAUCCUGCAACUGCAGCAAGGCCUUUCCCUUCCACACGAGAACCUGGCUCUCUGGUGACCAGAGUCUGUGUCCACCAAGUCCAGCCAGCUCUUGGCAAUCGGAAGACUAAUGUAUUGCAGCUACGGUGACUCUUUAGGGUCUGUAUAGACCAUGACUUUCUAGCAGACACGUUUCCCAUGCAAUCCCAAAUACUGUCUUUAGGUUGCAGCUGUCUUUGCUUGCCGUAGAGUCACCUUAAUAAGAUUUGGUUGCUUUCACGUUCCCCUGUCACCUUAGUCACCAGCACUACCGAUGACUGGUAAACACGGAUUUCCAUUCAUCCAGGUAUCAAAAUGCAGCCUGAUUGCCGGUGGUUAAGUGACCUGCUGUGACCCCUUUACGUGGACUGUCUGCAGUGUGGUUGAUAUUGGAAGGCUGGAAGGAGCACUUCUUGCUUUGGGGCAAGGGCAGACUGUCCUAGUUAGGGUUUCUGUUGCUAUGGUAAAACACCAGGACCAAAAGGAAGUUGGGGAGGAAAGGACUUACUUGGCUCACACUUCCACAUCACUGUCCAUCACUGAAGGAAGUCAGGACAGAAACCUCAAAUAGGGCAGGAACCUGGAGGCAGGAGUUAACGCAGAGGCCACAGAGGAGUGUUGCUUAUUGGCCUGCUCCCCGUGGCUUGCUUAGUCUGCUUUUUAUAUAGAACCCAGGACCACCGGCCCAGGGGUGGUACCAUUUACAGUGGGCCCCACAUGAGUCACAAAUUAAAAAAUGCCCUCCAGGCUGGCCUGACCCCUUUCUCAAUUGAGGUGUCCUCCUCAAAGAUAAUUCUAAUUGUGUCACGUUGACAUGAAACUGUCCAGCACACAGACCUUUACACUUUUCUAGAUGAGGAGACGGCAUGAGCAUGUGGGUUGGGGUGGAGAGGGGACACCCUGGGUGGAAGAAGUGUCCUAGGCUAAGAGGGAGGCAGAGGAUUUGUGCAAGAGCAUCCUGAAUGGGUGAGGGCAACAGGAGCAUCCCGGGUCCAUUGUGGUGAGACUGGGCUCUUGAAGUGAAGCCUUGCAGAGAGCUGUGGCAGGCCUGGAACACUCUGCUCAAGACUGUGGGCUUUCUAAAGGUCCAGUCAGGAGCUAGUGAUGUGUGCAGCUCAGGGCUGUUAGCAGAGAUAACGGGACUCAUCUGGUUAGUGAUGUGUGCUGCUCAGGGCUGUUAGCAGAGAACGGGACUCAUCUGCUUAUUUCCUCCAUGUCUUCUUCUAAGUCCUCCUGAGGGGACAGAGCUUCUACCUUCUGAUUUCCUGUGGUACCUAGCAUGCCAUGCCUCUGGUCACCAACCUGUCCCUGCACUCAGGGAUUCAAGGAUUAAAGGUCUUUUUUUUUUAGACAUGUGUACUAUUUAAUCUCAAUGGAGAACUUAUCAGGUCUAACAAAUAUCUGUCCGUUGGCUUUUUUUUUUUUUUUUUAAUGGUGGAUGAUGAGGUCUGGUGAAAUGGCUCAGUCAGUAAGAUGCUCGCUGUGUUAGCACGAGGACCUGAGCUUGGAUUCCUAGCACCAGUCCAUAAAGCACCGAGUGGGACAGGUGCUGGGGAGGCAGUGGGACAGGUGCUGGGGAGGCUGGGGCUUGGUAACUUUAGCCAACUUGGUGAGCUCUAGGUUCAGAGAUCCAUCAUGUCUCAAACACUAAGGUAAAGAGUGAUGGGAAAAUAUCUGAUGUUGACCUCUGGCUUCUGCACACAUGUACACAUGCACAUAUGUGCACAUGCACACACAGCACACACAGCACACAUGUACACACAUGCACACACAGCACACAUGCACACACAGAGCACAUGUACACACAGCACACGUAGCACACAUACACACCCAGCACACAUGCACACAUAGCAGACACAGCACACAUGCACACACAGUACACAUGCACACACAGUACACAUGCACACAUAGCACACACAGCACACACACACACAGCACACAUACACACCCAGCACACAUGCACACAUAGCACACACAGCACACAUGCAUACACAGCACACAUGCACACACAGCACACAUGCACACAUGCACACACAGCACACAUAGCACACACAGCACACAUAGCACACACAGCAUACAUGCACACACAGCACACAUGCACACACAGCACACAUGCACACAUAGCACACAUACACACACAGCACACAUACACACCCAGCACACAUGCACACAUAGCACACAUGCACACAUACACACAUAGCACACAUACACACCCAGCACACAUAGCACAAAUACACACCCAGCACACAUGCACACACAGCACACAUGCACACACAGCACACAUGCAUACACAGCACACAUGCACACACAGCACACAUGCACACAUAGCACACCCAGCACACAUGCACACACAGCACACAUGCACACAUAGCACACACAGCACACAUGGACACACAGCGCAUAUGCAUACACAGCACACAUGCACAUACAGCACACAUGCACACAUAGCACACAUAGCACACAUGCACACACAGCACACAUGCACAUACAGAGCACAUGCACACAUAGCACACACAGUGCACAUGUACACACAGCGCACAUGCACACACAAUGCACAUGCAUACACAGCACACAUGCACACACAGAGAACAUGCAUACACAGCACACAUGCACACACAGCACACAUGCACACCCAGCACAUCAUGCACACCCAGCACACAUGUGUACAUGCACACAUUCAUACACUCUCACGAAAAUGAUGAGGAAAGGGGCUAAAGAACACUGACUAAACACAGUUACACAUGCGGUUUCUGAGAGGCAGCACUUGUUCUCAGUCCAGACCCUGCACUCCAGACCUUCAACCUUCGGCUUAGAGACUUCUUGCCACCAGAUUGCAACAGCUUCAUUAAAUAAUCCAGUGGCUUGUUAACAAGAGAACUCCAUUUUCAUUUUCUAGGCAGCACAUGAUACAACUUCCAUGAUGGACUGUGAGUUCUAAAGGGACUCACUGGGGGAGUUUCACAAAGCUGGGUACGGAGCCGGAACCCAAAGGCUCCUAUAUAAUUCAGCCAGCUUAUAGGGUGUGGUCUGGACUUUGGAAUCUCCCCUGGGAACCCUUUGCUUCUGGGACAGUUUAAUCCCUGAGCCACCUAGAGUUGGGCUGCUGUGUUCACUGCCCUGGAGGGAGGGAUGAGGAUGUCCCAGAUUGACCCUGCCUCUGAGGUUGUAUAAGGAUUGGUAGAACACUCGCCUGGCAGCCAUGAAGCUCUGGGCGUUGCAACGCUGUGAGCUUAAGCUUAAUGCUGUGGGCGGCGUCAAGGUCAGAAGUUCAACCUCAUCCUCAGCUACACAGCAGCUACACAGUGAGGAGUGAGGACAGCGGCCUCGUGAGACUGGCUCCGAAAACUACAGGAAGAAUAGACGUGAAGCCACUGCACAGACAGACACUGUCUGUCCAUCUGGUGCCUUUCUAAUGGUGGCUGGUCACUCAUCCACGGUAGUGCUGUCACAGUAUUAUCUGGCUCUGUGUUCAGUCGGUGGGAAAUCCGGUCUGGACUGGAUGAAGAGAGGCUGUGUAGCGGAGUGCUCACGUUUGUGUACAUGUAUAUGGUCGGCCUCGGUAGCCUUCCUGAGGUAACAUGUCUUACUUUCUGAGAUAGUGUCUCUCGCUGGCCUGGAGUUUACCAAGUAGGCUAGUUUGACUGGCCAGAAGAGAACUGCCCGUCUCUACCUCUCCGGUGUUGACAUUACCAGCAAUGCCACCAUACCCAGCUUUAGAUUCCUAUGCUUGUAAGUGAAGUCUUCCCUGACUGAGCUGUCUCCUUAGCCCCGUUCACACACACACGCACACGCACACACACUCACUCACACACACACACGCGCGCACACACACACACACUCACACAUACACACUCACACACACACAUACACACACACACAUACACGCACACACGCACACACGCACACACGCACACACACACACACACACUCACACACACACACACCUACUUAUAGCUCUGCCUCAAAUCUGAAACUGCAUAGAGAAGAAACUCCGCUGCAGGGAUGUUACAGUCCAGCAGCCACUGUGUGCUAAGUGCCCUUCACACCCCAGCUCUUUUAAUCUUACACACACACAUGCCCUGCACACCGCACUUGCUGUGGGGAUCUUUAGUAAUCUAGAGAAAGGAAACAGGAAAGAGAAUCUACUGGAGGCUGCGCAGCUAGCAAGCCCAGCCCAGGUUCAGGUCAGUCUCAAACCUGGCAAGACUUCUGAUGGCAAAACUCGCUGCUUAUAGGACUUUAUGUGGCCUAGAGUUGUGCCCAGCUGUACUUUGAUAAGCUUGUAGCUUACAAGUGACAAAGUUUCCUCGAGCCUCUGUUUCCUCAUCAGUAAGGUGGAAGCAGCCCUAUCACUGGGGUGAUGGUGAAGCCCAGUGAAAGCAAGACUCAGGUAGCCUCCCCAAGACCAGGGCUGCAGGACCGCACACAGGACCGCACGGAAAUCAUCACAGUACAGCAAGGUCAGAGCUGGAGGAAGUAAUUCAGCAUGGGGUAGGAGGGAGUGCCUUAGACAUGCCAGGAGGUAAGCCGUGCUCCAGAGCGUGGAAGAAGUGCAUAGAGCAAUUCUGAUGCCCUUGACUCUGUCUCCCGAGGGCCGAGCACACAGGCAUGUGCACUACAAAUGGCUUAUAUGACACUGGUGAGGUACCCCAGGGCUUCUGGGAUGCUAAGCGAGCACUCUACUCACUGAGCUGCAUUCUCAGUGUGCUUUCUGUCAUCUCUGGGUUUCUUACAGUGCCUGACACAGUGGAUAGUUAUGCUACUGUGUUAUUAAGGGAUAAUAACAAGGAAAAGUCCUGCGGGUAGGCACAGCUUCUGUGACUAAGUUGUCACAUAUACCGAAUUGGACUUCCUCUAAAGACUCCCCAUGCUCCUUUAGAACUGGAGGUGAAUAGGGACACAGGCAGGACACUGACCCAUGGCUGAGCACAUUCUGGCCUCACUCCACACACUGCAGAGAUGGGGAGAGGGACAGAGGCGUGUCAAGGGAGCAGCAGCAGAGGCAAGAACAUUUUGGAGUGCACAAGUAUUGCUUCUUUCUGAUUGGAUAGCUUAGGUCAUGCGCCCAUACAAGACCCAGAAGCAGUGGUAGAAGUCGCCACUUAGCUCAUCCCACGUAUGUAUGGCCCUUCUCUAGCCCAGCAUGGGCUCACGCUCCCCAGGGCCAAGGGUCUAACUGAGUCAGAGGUCUGGAAAGAAGGAGAGAACAAGGAUGCUGGGCAGACAAUAUCCUCUUCAUCUCAGCCACAUGAAUGUCAAAUUGAUGUCAAGGCUGUGGUAGGUACCAAGAUGCUGGGAGUAUGUCCUGUGCAGCUCCUGGGCUGAGUGAACUUAGACUGAACUUCGUUCAGCAGAGAAAUAGCCCUGUUCUCAGGAGCCACUUUGGUCCCUCCUGAAAAGUGACAAUAGCAAUCGAACAAAUUAGCAUGCCACUUGAGAGUUCAAGGAGCUAAAACACUUUCUCUAGCUCCGGCUAGCACAGUGGAGGCUACCUGAGACCUGGCUGCAGGUAACUUCCUGGAUGCACCUCCCACCAGCAGAUACCUGAUACCAGGCCCUGUGGGCCUGCUCUCGGGGAGCCCUGAGGGGGAGACAAAUAGAAAAGAGACCAAAAAAAAAAAAA